rnacentral:lncRNA from 1 species
GAAGAAAGGCCAAGAGAAGCCGCCGAAGAGACCCUAAAGCACGGGGGGGGGGGGGGGGGGGGGGGGGGGGGAGGCGUGGUGAGAGAGAAAUACCGAGUCUGUGCACAUUCAGCAAGUGUCAGCGCCAAGUCUAGAAGCAGGGACCGGGGAGGGCGAGGGGAAGGUGAGAUGGUGACUCCGAAGCUCUGGUCUUCGAGACCGUCAGAUGCCCGCAGGACGGUCCCCAGCGCCCCUGGCUUUGCAGAGAGCGCGCGGCCGCCUUGGCUCGCGGAUUUGGCCGGUGUCCCGUUGGGGAGCAGACGGGGAAGAUCUGGCCUUUUGAACCCACCCAGAGGGCGACACCUGUGACCCUGGCGUCUACCUGGAACUUCGUGGGCGGUGCCCCCGGGGCUGCAACCUCGCAGGGAAGCUGGGCCGCGCGGCCAGGUGUCCGAGAGCGCGGCGUCUCGCCGUCCCGGGCGCCGCAGUCGCUGGGCAGCCCCGAUGCGGUGCGCGUCGCGGGGAGACCUCCCGGCCACUGUCACCUGAGCACAGACAACUUCCACACGUCUGCCGCCCAACGCCCCGACCGACGCGGGGAGCCUCUGACACCAGAAUAUAUGAGUGACACUUGCUCUUUGGGGGAGCACGGUCCCAAGGUUUAUCAAAAUGGGCUUAUUUUCCAUGGAGAAAGUGGUUCUGGAGAUGAAAAUCCUCAGAACUGCUGAAACUUCCCUUUCCACCUACUCGUGUUCACUGGAAAUAAUUGUGAACACAGGAGUACACUGAGCAAUGCAGCCAACGGCAGGGGGCACAGCUAGGCUGCUGACGCCGACACAAUACCAAAGUGCCUGCUCUGGGAUUGUCACCAGCAGGGACACUCCCUGCCCCUUACACCCCCUUACCUGGUUUCCAAGGGACUCACGGAAGCAAGGAGUCAUUAAGCUCUGGUGCAGCUGGUAACAGACCACGUUUUCUUCCCCUCUGGACCGCCUAAGUACUAUUAUUUAACCAGAAGCAGCAAAAAGUUGAGAUUCACCAAAUCCCAGACUGGACCUCCCAGACCCACAUCUAAAACAUUCCCAGCGUAAAAUCCCAGCUUGUCUCUAAAGAUCUCUGAGUCAAAAAGCCCCAAGUCUGUCUUAUUAGAGCUCAUUCUAGGACCUGGCAACUCUUGAGACUCAAGUCAGUCUUUGACUAACUUAGUCAUUCCAACCCCUUUUCCUUUCUGAAGAAAAGUGGUCUCUUUCCCAAUCAACACUUUGUGCUGAAGAAAUGAAUAAAAUGUCCACUAACCUUCUCAAAUUUUCUCCUGUCUUUGACUCCAGCCAUUUUUCUUUUCUAAAUCAAAUCCUUAUCUAAAGUCACACCAAAAACAAGUUGAUAAUAUUGAUUCUAUGUAUUUCUCCAAAUAAAAUCUCAGAAUCGUCAAGUACCAUUUCUCUCAUCCUUUUAUGAUUUCUAGAUAUGAACAUAAAAAUUAGACUAAUUUCAUGAUUAAAAUUAUAUUUUUAGAAGUUACUAUUGCCACCGUUUAUUUGCUGUUCCCAUCAUUUAUAUGCAAGAGAAGAAAGUCAACAAUACAAAUACCCAUGUGUUUUGACAUAAUAGAUGUAGGAAAAAGAGCAAGUGUGUAAUGUAUUAAUUAAUAAUUAAGUGUGUAAGUUAAUAAGUUACACACUUGCUCAAAGGAUAAAGAAAAUUCUACCCAUCCCAAACUGUUGUUAAUCAUGACUUUCAUGAAAUAAAGAUGAAAGUGCUGAGAAGACAUGCUCUCUGCUUCACAAGGUACAGUUGACCCUGGAACAACAUGGGGGCUUCAGGGCACUGACUUCCCACUGACCAGUCGAAAAUCCACCUAGAACAUUUGACUCCCCCCAAAUUGACUACUAAUAGCCUACUGUUGACCAGAAGCCUUACCUAUAACAUAAACAGGCAACAUAUUUUUGUAUCUUAUAUUAUUGUCUUCUUACAAUAAAGGAGGCUAGAGAAUAAAAAACAUUGUUAGGAAAAUCAUAAAAGAGAAAAUACAUUUAUAGUCUUGUAAAAUAUCUGUACAUAAGUGGACCUGUGCAGUUCCAACCCAUGUUAUUCCAGGGCCAGCUGCACUUCCAAACACGUAGACUCGUGGCAUCAUUCCUACCGAAAGCAAGAUGAGUUUGAGCCCACCGUCCCCCCUAGCGACAAGGUAGCUGAGACUAAAGUACAAGUAACCAGCCCGAGACAGUUGCAGACAGUAGUUGGGGAUGCCAAGGGCACUCUCCACGCCACUGCCCUCCCAGGGGAGCACUUUGCACACCAUGAACACCUCAAAGUGCCUCUUCUUACUCCAACAGCUGCUGGCUUCACAGAAGAGAUUAGAACUCUUCAUCAAUUCAACAAAUAAUCAUUGAACACCUGCCACAUGUCAGGCAAACUAGACAAAGGUCCCACCCUUAUGGCACUCACUGUUUAGUAGGGGUAAAUAAAUUUUUAAAAAACAAAUUCUUUUCUUUAUUCAUUUACCCAAUGUCUUGAGCAACUAAUCAAGUACUGUGGUAAGGGGGUAAAAAUAUAUCCAUACAUAAGAUAGGAAUAUCCCUCUGAAAAUAAGAAAAACACAAAAGAAUUAGAGUACAGAGUCAUUAGCUAGACAAUAUCACAGAAGUUAAGAGAAGGCAUCAGAUAAAUUUGCUUGGAUAGCACCACAGAGAUGUCAUCACCUGGGCUGUGGAGAGUUAGCAGUAGUCCCCAGAACCUAAAGCAGGGCCUGGCACAUAGCAGGAGCUCAGAAAUUGGUUGUUAAGUGAAUGAAUGGUGUGUUUCUCAAGUAGACAAAGGGAAGACAAUCCAGGUAAAGACCUCACAGUAGGAACAAAGGCUCCAAGAAAGACUAUGAAAGGGAUGAUAAAUAACCAAC